AUGGGGGCAACGGGCGUCAGGGCGUCUCACCGCUGUCAAACACCAGCGGCAAAUUUGGACUGUUUCCAAAAACCCACUAUGCAAUGCUGUGAGGUCAGAGCAGAGAGUGAGCCGUCCCCUCGCGGACAAGACACAGAACAGACGAAAGGAAUAAUAACAGCUGGAAAGGAAACAGAAGUAGAACAGGGAAAAGAUCAAGUGAGUGAUACACGCGAGGAGGAAGAAAAGGAGAGAAGCCGCGUGGAGGAACAAGAGACAGAGAGAGAGAGAGGUGUAAGGAAAGGCGAGAGAGAAGGCACGUGGAAGAGCGAGAGGCAGGGAGAAAGAUAGGGUGGCGUGAAGAAAGCGAACCAUUGGAGCAGUUAGGAGAAAGAGAGAGAGCGAGAAGGGGGUAUCGUAGGGAUGACAGAGAGAGGGAGAUGUGUUCUUAACAACAGAGGAAGGAAACACAUCUACAGAUACAGAAAAGGUCUCUGUAUUUGAUGAAACUAUUAUAGUGCCAGUCCCCAAGCAGUCAGCUGUGGUAUCUCUCAAUGACUAUAGACCAGUAGCUUUAACAUCUGUUAUUAUGAAAUGUUUUGAGAGAUUGGUGCUGGAUUACAUUAAGGCUAGACUUCCACCUUCUUUGGACCAAUGACAAUUUGCAUACAGGAAAAAUAGAUCUACUGAUGAUGCUGUGUCCAUUGUACAGUACUCCAUUCUGUAUUGAGCCAGUUAGAACAACAGGGAACUUAUGCGAGGCUGUUGUUUGUGGAUUAUAGUUCUGCUUUUAAUACCAUUCUACCAAAUAGGUUGUUUUUCAAAAUGAUCAACCUGCUGUUUGCUUGGUGCACAAGACUCUGGGCACCGUGUCGUGACAUUGCCAGCAUGGCUUCCAGCAGACAAAGAGAUCAUCGAUCCCAAGCGGACUAGUUGCAACCACACCUUCCAGGGCUCCCUGCAGAGAGAUCACAGGAGGCAUCCCUUUCAUUCCAGCUGUGUGCACCUCUGUCUGAAGAUUACAGGUCCCACACGCUUAGCUCCAUGCAUUGGGGGGGGUGGGGGUUGUUAGAACCAGAACAAACCCAUGGGGAAGAUCUGCUCAUUCCCUCCAUCACCUGCUUCACUUCUAACGGGACCUCUGCUUGUCAGAGAUUUUGGGAAAGUUGCCCGGAGCCGUCUGAAUGAGCCGCACACUCAAGAUGGGACCGGAAAGUGCUUACCUGUAGCUCUGAUGUCUCAGUAAUGGGUACAGUAAUCUGGUGCCAGCUGGGGCCCUGGCCCCCCUUCAUAGACCACACCUUGUGCCAUUCCGAAGAAUUCAGCAGCUUUAUAUAGAAGUUUAUUUCAC
rnacentral:lncRNA from 1 species